AUUGAACGCUGGCGGCAGGCCUAACACAUGCAAGUCGAGCGGAUGACGGGAGCUUGCUCCUUGAUUCAGCGGCGGACGGGUGAGUAAUGCCUAGGAAUCUGCCUGGUAGUGGGGGACAACGUUUCGAAAGGAACGCUAAUACCGCAUACGUCCUACGGGAGAAAGUGGGGGAUCUUCGGACCUCACGCUAUCAGAUGAGCCUAGGUCGGAUUAGCUAGUUGGUGAGGUAAAGGCUCACCAAGGCGACGAUCCGUAACUGGUCUGAGAGGACGAUCAGUCACACUGGAACUGAGACACGGUCCAGACUCCUACGGGAGGCAGCAGUGGGGAAUAUUGGACAAUGGGCGAAAGCCUGAUCCAGCCGUGCCGCGUGUGUGAAGAAGGUCUUCGGAUUGUAAAGCACUUUAAGUUGGGAGGAAGGGCAGUAAGUCAAUACCUUGCUGUUUUGACGUUACCAACAGAAUAAGCACCGGCUAACUUCGUGCCAGCCGCCGCAGUAAGAC
rnacentral:rRNA from 1 species